UAUACCUCUUGUAUUUAAAACCCUACUCUUUAAAAUAUAAAUUUUAUUUAAAAAAACCUUUCAACAAUGGAUCUCUUGGCUCUCGCAUCGAUGAAGAACGCAGCGAAAUGCGAUAGGUAAUAUGAAUUGCAGAAUUCCGUGAAUCAUCAAAUUUUUGAACGCAAAUUGCGCUUCUUGGUAUUCCGAGGAGUACACAUGCUUGAGGGGCAGUUAAAAAAAAUAAUCGUACAUCUUUUGAUGUGGCGGAUCUGGGUUAUCCGAUCAUAUUAAUCGGUUACCUAAAAUUUAAGAUGGAUAUAUAAUGUGAAGCGUACUAAGUUAGUCGCUAAUCAUUUAUGAUAUUUAUUACAUUACCAACAUUUAGUUGGUGGUGUAUAAAUUAUGAGAAAUGACCUCAAGUUAUGUGAGAGUACCCGCUGAACUUAAGCAUAUCAACAAGCGGAGGAAAAGAAACUAACAAGGAUUCCCCUAGUAACGGCGAGUGAAGCGGGAAAAGCACAAAUUUAAAAUCUACCUGGUUUUCAGGUCGAGUUGUAAUUUGAAGAAAUGUUUUUGACGUUCCGGG
rnacentral:rRNA from 1 species